GGGUACCCCUCAUUUGGAGUGUUGUUCCCAACCUUGUUUAAGGUCUAUCUUUGUGCAUAAUUCAAAAUUGGAAAUUUCAACAAGCAUCUAAUAUUCUUACACAAGAAAAUAAACCCUGAUCUGCUAGCUACAUGUUCAUCUUUUCUACCGAUUUAAUAACUAGAAUCAUGCAAACAGACUUUUAAGAAAAUGGCAUGCAAGUUCAUCAUACAAAUUUGACACUUUUUCUAGACAAUCCAGAUCGUGCACAUAGUAGCUAAAAAUUGUAACCUUUAAAAUUGUUGUCGCGCACUAAAAACUCCCAUGGGAACUUUCAAAAGUUGGCAGGUAUGUAACAUGUCUUACUAUCUUUAUGCCCCAUUUAUGGGCAUUAUGUUUUCUGGUCUGUCCGUCUGUCCUGCUUCCGGUUAAAUUUUAUUGCCGAGGUAGUUUUUGAUGAAGUUGAAAUCCAAUCAACUUGAAACUUUAGUACACAUGUGUUCCUUAUGAUAUGAUCUCUCUAAUUUUGCUGCCAAAUUAAAGAUUUUACCUAAUUUUCACAGUCCACUGAACAUAGAAAAUGAUUGUACGGAUGGAAAAUCCAUGUACUUAUGACACAUGAUUGUUUGAAGAAAAAAAAUAUGUCAUAAUGAUAAUGGAACAAAGCAGGCUGGGUAAGUGGGGCUGCUUUUAUGGUAAUUCAAGUUACCUUUUAUUUACCUUCUUCCACCUCAGAGCUAUCAGCUCUUUGAUUUUUUAAAUUCCACAGGAAGCAAUGUCUUUGCUCCAACUCCUACUUAGUAAAUGCAGCGAACUUUGCGGGUAAGCAGUAAAUGUCAAUUGAUCAGACAAUAAUUAUAUACUAAGGGAACAGUCGACAAUCAUAAGUCGAAAGAAAACUAAAUUAUCAUGGCCACAAAAAAGUGCGAAAACCGAAAGACAUACAACACCAAAUCACUACACAGAAAAGUUACUACAGAAUGAAUUAAAAAUGUGAAACAUCAGGUUCUCCGGAAGGUUCAGCAGAU
rnacentral:lncRNA from 1 species